AACCCACAUCCUCAUGGAUACUAGUCGGAUUCUUAACUUGCUGAGCCACAAAGGGAACUCUUUAAACAGUUUAUAUAUAUAUAUAUAUAUAUAUAUAUCUCAGAACAAAAGCCAACUCGAGGAUAAACAAUAUGUAUAGUUUGAUGUGGCAGAAAACAGGAAAAGAAACAUGUGGUCACCGUGUUUGGAUUUUACUCUACAGUUAAAGGAGUGCUCUGCAGGGGGUGCUGCACCCAAAGCAAAGUCCUAGGAAGAAACGUCCCUCCGGUGUCCAGGCUGAAGGAUGGAGGAGGCCAAGGCCAGCACACAGAGAAAACAGCUGGGACUAUUGAUGAGGGCCUGGAGUAAGCAGCAGGCAGUGACAGCUGAAGGGGAAAAUGAUGGGAGAAACUUAGGGAAGACAGAAUCCCGGGACUCAGGACAGAUUGGAUGGGCAGGAACCCCGACACGGGUGCUCCUCUUGGGGAGAAAUUCCUGAAUCCCAGCCCUCCUUCUGGGGCCCAUGGCAGCCAAGUCUGGGACCAAGAACACAGCAGUCAAAUCCCUGACUCACCAACCACUCUCUGAAUCUCAAUUUUCUCAUCUAUAAAAUGGAAGGAAUCAUCAGACCUAACUUUGUAGACUAAAGAAUUGAAUGAGAUAUUCACAAGGCUCUAAGUCUAGCUCAUUCUAAAUUCUCAGUAAAUAUAAAUCGUCAUCUGUAUUAUCUCCCAAGAGAUCCCAUGAUGUGGGCCUUCUUUCUCACCCUCCACUUCUCUAUCCAGGUGAACUUUAUUUAAAAUAAGCACCAAGAGUAGCCUUAAAAGGGGGAGGAAAGGCCAAAAGGCAGCACAUCUGGGGUGAGGCAGAGGUUAGAAGAGGUCAACCAGCCCUAGUUGCUGGUCAACCAGCCCUAGUCCUUUGGUGAUGGGAGUGGGGAGGAGGUGACUUAGUUUCCAAAUAACUGCAAGCAUUAGAACCUCUCUGGAACCUGUUUGUCCCAUCAGCUGACAACACUGAUAGGAAUGGCGCAGGCGCAGGCACAGGUAGUUGUACAAACCCUGAUAAGGAACCACAGACUGAAAGAGAAACAGGGACUUUGGGAGAUCAUUGUAAGUUAAUCACUGCUCAGAUCACCGUAAGUUAACGGCUCAGCGGGCCAUCAGGCAGGCUGGCUGGACUAGCGGAGGCUGGAGAUAUGCCUCAGGUCAUUGGUCAGGAUCUGGUGGGGGCUGCAUUCAGGUUCGGACCAUGGGCAGGAGUUUAAGGACCCCCCUUCUGCUGAUUUGAAUAAGCCUAUGACCGAAUACCAAGGAGGAGCUACUACGCCAAGACAGAGGAAGAGGUGGUCUUUUCCACUCCCCUUGAGUGAAAAAGACUGUAGCCCACUGGAUCCUGGGGCAGAGCCUCCUUGCCUGCCUGCUUGCAUCUCUCACAAGCGUCCUAUCUUGAUAAAUCUACUUCUUGCCUGUCACUUUGUCUCUCACUGAAUUCAUUCUGUGCGGAGGCUUGAAGAACCCGAACCUCAGCAAGUCCAGACACUGGGAUGUGUGUGGACCCUCUGAAACCUACCCAGAAAUGACCUCACUGUGGUGUUUGAACGGAAAGCCACAUUAUUCCCAGUUGGUGAGUGUGUGGGGGUACCCGAUGCAGGACUCCUCUGUAGGGAAUAUUUGCACUGGUGCUUCCCGCCACGCUGACCAGGAAGUCCUGAAUGCUGUAUCUACCUGAGGCUCUACUACCCCAUCCCCCUGUGGCACCCCCUUACUUCUCACCAGGUCAGACCCGCGGAGGAAUCUGAAGGCUCUCCCUGGCUCUCCCCCAGAGGCUUCUCCACGAAGAAUUCCGUCCUGCACUUCUAACUCUGCUUGGUGUCUGCUUCCUAGAGGGAUCAACCAACACAACUGGUACCAGGAGCAAUCAAAAAGAAGAGGUGAUAAGAGGAGGUUUGGGUUCUAGAUCACUCGUCACACAGCUGGCAAGGAAGGUCCCAUCCCAAAUGGUGUUGGAGGUAUAGAUAAUUCCUGCCACGAAGUGGCAACUCAGUUGCUAAAAAUUUCACAGGUGAUUGCUUAGAAGAACAGCCUGGUGGAGGGGAAUGCCUGAGUCAGAAGAUUCAGGCCUUUGCACAUUAUGGAGGAAAAACACAUUUAAGGACAGUGGAAAAAACUAGUUACUAAGUUGAUUUAAUGCUCUACAGAGAGAUAAUGAGAAGUUAGGGCAAUUGACAAAUUUAAACGCUAAGUGUGAAAGCCAGUAGUCCUCUUUGGUAGCUUCUGCAGUAGGAGGGCGGAUACAGUUAAGAGGCAAACUCAGGUUCUGAUAUUUUUAGUUACCAGGCAUCAGAAAGAGUGGAAUGCUUCAUCAAGGCAAGGUCUACUUUGCUAAGAUCAGGGCCCUGCCUGGAAAAAAAAAAA